rnacentral:lncRNA from 10 species
CUGCGAGGGGAGUGUGGCGGGGCUAUAGGGUGAAGGUGGGGAGAGGGUCAGCAGAGGAACAUGUGAGCAAAGACUCUGUCAUAAAUAAGUUUAAGAAAAGGUGCUGUGCCUGGAUGUGCACAAUCGCUAGAUUUAUGUUUAAGCUUACAUAAACAACUCAGUGCAGUAAAGAGUAACAGAGCAGUAUUGCCGCCAUGAUGUCUCACCUCCAGCCAUAAGGUGGUUUUCUCCUGUCUCAGAAUAGAAUAUAUGGUCGGUUUUAUGCUGAGACAUCCAAUCCCAGGGACGUGCAGGAGACAGAUGCCACGCUCUUAUCUCAACCGCAUAGAGGCCUUCCUCUUUCACUAAUCCUCCUUAGCACAGACCCUUUACGGGUGUAGGGCUGGGGGGCUGUAAGUUCUUUCCCUUCCCAUGAGGCCAUAUCUCAGGGACGUGCAGGAGACAGAUGCCACACUCUUAUCUCUACCGCAUAGAGGCCUUCCUAUUUCACUAAUCUCCUUAGCACAGACCCUUUACGGGUGUCGGGCUGGGGGGCUGUAAGGUCUUUCCCUCCCCACGAGGCCAUAUCUCAGGCUGUCUCAGUCCGGGGAAACCUGGACAAUACCCAGGCUUUCUUGGGCAGGGGUCCCUGCGGCCUUCCACAGUGCAUUGUGUCCCUGAUUAAUAGAGAAUGGAGAAUGGCGAUGACUUUCACAAAGCAUACUGCCUGCAAACACAUUU